rnacentral:rRNA from 1 species
GAUGAACGCUAGCGGCAGGCUUAAUACAUGCAAGUCGAGGGACAGCACAGGUAGCAAUACUGGGUGGUAACCGGCAAACGGGUGCGGAACCAGUACACAACCUUCCUUUAAGUGGGGGAUAGCCCAGAGAAAUUUGGAUGAAUACCCCGUAAUAUAGUUGAAUGGCAUCAUUUGAUUAUUAUAGCUACGGCGCUUAAUGAUGGGUGUGCGGCUGAGUAGAUAGUUGGCGGGGUAACGGCCCACCAAGUCUACGAUCAGGAGCUGAUGUGAGAGCAUGAUCAGCCACACGGGCACUGAGACACGGGCCCGACUCCUACGGGAGGCAGCAGUAAGGAAUAUUGAUCAAUGGACGCAAGUCUGAACCAGCCAUGCCGCGUGAAGGAUUAAGGUCCUCUGGAUUGUAAACUUCUUUUAUUUGGGACGAAAAAGGGCCUUUCUAGGUCAACUGACGGUACCAGAUGAAUAAGCACCGGCUAACGCAGGGCCAGCCGCCGCCGUAAUAC